GUUAGAAUCCAAAACUAGUUAACCCCAAGAGGUUGGUUGAGCGGUAAAAACUGAAGGAUAAGAUCCAAGGUCUCGAGUUCGAGUCUUCCAUUGAGCCAUUGGAAGUUUGCCUGGUCGUUAACUUGAAGGCCUCCAAGGAUUAGUUCUCGGCUAUCUAGUUGCGAGGUAACUCUAGCCCCAAUUGGGCUAUGUUGGGCCGGAGAUACCCUGUAUUUAAAAA